rfam:Dipodomys ordii contig_13422, whole genome shotgun sequence.
GGGAAUGUGGCUUAGUGGUAGAGUGCUUGCCUCCCAAGCAUGAAGCCCUGGGUUCAAUUCCUCAGUACCA